rnacentral:rRNA from 1 species
AGUACAGCGGCGUACGGGUGAGUAACACGUGGAUUAUCUACCUUCUAGUGGGGGAUAACCCUGGGAAACCGGGGCUAAUACCGCAUAAGCCUGUAAAGGGAAAGCAGCAAUGCGCUGGAAGAGGAGUCCGCGGCCGAUUAGCUAGUUGGUGAGGUAAUGGCCCACCAAGGCAGUGAUCUGUAUCCGGCCUGAGAGGGCGCACGGACACACUGGAACUGAAACACGGUCCAG